AGUGAACGCUGGCGGUAGGCCUAACACAUGCAAGUCGAACGGCAGCACAGUAAGAGCUUGCUCUUACGGGUGGCGAGUGGCGGACGGGUGAGGAAUACAUCGGAAUCUACUUUUUCGUGGGGGAUAACGUAGGGAAACUUACGCUAAUACCGCAUACGACCUACGGGUGAAAGCAGGGGAUCUUCGCACCUUGCGCGAUUGAAUUAGCCGAUGUCGGAUUAGCUAGUUGGCGGGGUAAAGGCCCACCAAGGCGACGAUCCGUAGCUGGUCUGAGAGGAUGAUCAGCCACACUGGAACUGAGACACGGUCCAGACUCCUACGGGAGGCAGCAGUGGGGAAUAUUGGACAAUGGGCGCAAGCCUGAUCCAGCCAUACCGCGUGGGUGAAGAAGGCCUUCGGGUUGUAAAGCCCUUUUGUUGGGAAAGAAAAGCAGCAGGUUAAUACCCCGCUGUUCUGACGGUACCCAAAGAAUAAGCACCGGCUAACUUCGUG
rnacentral:rRNA from 1 species